CACGUCAGCGCGACCUGCUGACGUGGAAGGAAAUCGCUCCCUCAAGGAUGCGAUUUUCUUCCACCUUAGUAGGUCCCGCUAACGUGG
rfam:Gossypium raimondii Chr05_contig_794, whole genome shotgun sequence.